GCCCGGAUGGACGCCGAAUGGCGUCGGUAUUGCGGCUCCCGCUGGCGGGGAAUCGACGAACAGGAGCGGCGGGAAUUCCGCCAGAUCCCUGGGAUCAGAGAGAGCUUCAGAUUCUGUCAGCGGAAACUGGGCUUCGAGGAUGAGGCCAUUUUCGAGCAGCUAAGUGCUCAUCGCUCCACACAGAAAGAUCCCAAAGCUGAGCUGGACUUCAAGCAGCAGGGGAACGCCCGGUUCAAAGCGAAGGACUACAUUCAGGCUGUGGCAUUGUAUUCAAAGGGUCUCCGACACAGCUCCACACAAUCCCCUCAGGCUGCUGUGCUCUAUGCCAACCGUUCGGCAGCACUUUACCAACUGCAGCGCUACCAGGAAUGCUUAGCGGAUAUCAGGAGAGCUCAGGAACACAAUUAUCCACGAGAACUGGAACAUAAAAUCCUGGUGCGUCACGCAUCCUGUUUACAUCACCUCGGAGUGCCUGAUGGAGCCUAUGAUAACCGGAGCAGAGGAAACCUCGGUGAUGGAGGGGGGCAGGGCCCUUGCUGCACAGCCUUGCCCAGUAUCCAGACCCAUUCCGAAUCCCGAGACCCCCCCAGUGCACGGGGAAAAGCCUCAGCUGUUCCAGGGGAAGUAUCUCCUUCCAUCGCCUUGCAUUCUGACAGUUCCCGGGGCCGGCACAUGAUAGCGACUGAGGAGCUGAGGCCAGGAGAGGUCCUGAUUCAGGAGGAGGCAUUUGCAGCUGUGUUGAUUCCAGAGGAGGGGAGAAGGGAGUCACUCCCCAAUGAGGAUCUACACUGCCACCACUGCUUGGGCCAGGCUGAGCUCCCACUGCCCUGUCUGAGCUGUAGCUUCAGCAGUUACUGCAGUGAGCUGUGUCGUCAACACGCCUGGCAGCAGUAUCACUGGCUAGAAUGCCGCCUCGGUGGGCUCCUCCUGGCACUGGGCACUUUUGCCCACCUUGCCCUCCGCACUGUCCUGGUUGCGGGCAUGCAGGAGGUGGAGAGAGCACAGAGAUUGGGGAGUGGAAGUGACUGGUUGCCAAGUGAGGAACAAAGUAAGAGGGAGGACCCAAAGCACACGAUUGGACAUGCAGGUUGUUCUGGGACUGAAGGGUUUUCAGGGGCUAGUGGCAGGAUGCCCAAGGAAGGUCUGAGCCGCUACCAGACAAUCCACAGUCUGCUGACACACAUGGGACAGCAGAAACCCAAGCACCGCUUCCUGUGUGGUUUCACUGCAGCUGCUGUGUGCUGCGAGAUCAAGCGAAGGGGGCUGGAGCUGCAGAUGGUGAGUGAAGAGCUGGAAACGCAGAGUGCCCAGGGCCAGAGGCUGAGCAUCCUGGGAGAGGCACUGCUCCGACACGUGCUGCAGCUGGAGUGUAACGCUCAGGCUAUCACCGUCGUCAGAGAUACAGCUUCAGCCACUUGUUCUGUUGCAGGAGUUGGAAAUUCCCAUGUGGCAGCCAUGGAACAGGUCAGGAUUGCAACUGCCUUCUACUCCGGGGUCAGUCUGCUCAACCAUUCAUGUCACCCAAACACCAGCAUCACCUUUCGCAACACAAGCAUCAUUGUGAGAGCCUCACAACACAUCCCAGCAGGACAGGAAGUGCUGCAUUGCUACGGUCCACACUGGAGCCGAAUGUCAGUGAAGGAACGGCAGCGGGCCCUCAGUCUGCAGUAUUUCUUCCGGUGUCGGUGCACCGCGUGUGUUAGUGAGGAGAAUAAGGAAGCUGGAAUGGACUCCCUGGUCUGUCAGUUCCUCUGCUCUCGCUGUGGGGUUACUUUACAGGAUUCGGAGGAAGCUCACUGCACAUGCUCAAACAGCUGCUGUGGUCACAUGGUCUCCAAACAGUCCCUCAUUCAACAAGUGCAAGAAAUUAGAAGCCUGAUGAGUAACGCAAGGGGCCUGAGCGCUGGACAUCCAGAUGAGGCAUUUCAUCUGCUCUCCAAGUGUCAGCGGGUAGCUCAGAGCCUCCUGUCGAGUCACCACCCAGUGCAAGGAGAGAUCGAGGACUGUCUGGCACAGGUUUACGCAUCCCAAGGUGAGCUGAUUGGACGGCAGCUGCUCGGCACCUGAGGAUGAGCUGUGACCUGGUCAGGAUUCAGUUUGGAGAUCGGAGUGUGGAACUGGGCAAGCAACUCUUCAAACUGGCACAGAUUCUCUUCAAUGGACAUGUUAUGGAUGAAGCAUUGAGUGUUAUUGAACAGGCUGAGUGCCUUCUCUCCCUGCACUGUGGAGCUGAACAUGAGAUGAUGAUCGAGUUGAGUGAAAUGAAGUCCUGCCUGCAGACCCUGCCCAGCCAGUUUCCUGUGUCUCCCUAACACUCAGCAUGUUACAAAGAGUGACUGGAUCAUCAACUAAGCAACCAAUGUGUUCAACCAUCUAUGGAUCACAACACUGGGCACAUGGGAAAUCCAAGGAGACUCCACUAGACAGGAUUCACCCAGCCAAGGGAAGCUUGUCAUCCACAUUCGACAGAGCCGCAAAUGAACCUGGCACAGCUGGCUCCUCACAGUAAGGGGCUUCCUGAUGUUUGUAGAAAUGCAAUGAGCUGUUCAGUUUCAUGAAAUAACUGGGAAUGAUAAAGAUCACAAUGGGAAUCUA